CGAUUACACACGAGUAAAAAAUGACAACGGUGGUGCAUGAUUCACACACGGUCGUUGUCAAUAUGACACCGGUCGUGUAUGAAUUAUGCACCACCACCUGCAUAAUGAUGCACCACCGUUGUUACUUUGUACACCGACGUGCAUGAAUCGUACACGAUCGUUGCCAUUUUAGCAACUACCGUGUAUGAAUCAUGCACCACCGUUGUCAUUUUUUUUACUCGUGUGCAAUCGGCUGCAUAUUUACCAUUUUUUUCCGUGUUAUUGAAAGAGAAAGGACGCAUUGUGCAAAAAAUUUAUUGAAAAUGAAUAAUAAUUCGCAAGAUCCUCAAAAUAUCAUUGGUGAGUUGUUAGAAAUCGAUGGCAAUAUUGUUGUGGUUCGCGAUACAAACCAUUGCAGCAGUCAAGAUGCGGAAAACAAUGAGGACGAUUAUAUGUUAAGGGAGUUCUUAAAAGGAAUAAAUAUGGAGUCGCUUUUUGAACAAUUAAAAGGUAAGUAAAUAAAAAUGAAUUUUUCAGUUAAUCAGUGUAAUUAACAAAGAAUUUUCUUUUUUGUUCUUUUAGCAUCACAUGUAACAUUUCGCAGCUUGCAGUACUUGAAAAAAGAAGAUUUAAAGGAAGCAGUGCCACCAUUGGGACUGCGUGUUGAAUUCAGAGAAAAGCUCUUUGCUUGGAAAAAACGAAAGCUCGGGAUUGAUGACGAAACUAUGUCAGUUCCAUCUAAAAUAGGUGAAUGGUGGAAACGCAACGAGACACCUGCAAGUACUCCUGGUACUCCCGACACUACAGGUUCGAACUGCUCAAAAGCCAAAGGAAUUUUGUCAGAGGAUCUAACGGAAUUGUUAACACAUACCUCGAAGGGGAAACUAGCGCUUGAAUGUAGUAGCGUUAAUAAGAAAUUAAGUGACGAGCAAAGAGAUGAUAUAAUUAAUAUAAUUAUUGAAGAUAUUUUAACCAACAAUGUUACUCUUUACACUCAAGACUAUAUGCGCAUAUUGGAUGAAAUUUGUUCCGUUUUUCCUCUUGAAAACGAAAUGAGGGUAAGAUUAACAAUAUAAACAACGUAUCUGAUUAUGUAGUUUCUUAACUUAUAAUAUGUCUUUAUUUUUAGGAUUAUUAUUACAUUUCAAGAAAAGGAAAGAACAACGC